ensembl:lncRNA
CAUUGGGGCCAUUGGGGCCAUUGGUGCCACAUUGGGGCCGUCACUGGGGCCAUUGUGGCCAUCAUUGGGGCCAUUGGGGCCAUUGGGGCCAUCAUUGGGGUCGUCAUUGGGGCCAUUGGGGACAUUGGGGCCAUCAUUGGGGACAUUGGGGCCAUCAUUGGGGCCAUUGGUGCCACAUUGGGGCCGUCAUAGGGGCCAUUGGUGCCACAUUGGGGCCAUUGGGGCCAUUGGGGCCGCUAUUGGGGCCGUCAUUGGGGCCAUUGGGGCCGUCAUUGGGGUUAUUGGGGCCAUUGGGGACAUUGGGGCCAUUGGGGCCGUCAUUGGGGCCAUCAUUGGGGCUAUUGGGGCCAUUGGGGCCAUCAUUGGGGUCGUCAUUGGGGCCAUUGGUGCCACAUUGGGGCCAUUGGGGGCGUCAUUGGGGCCAUUGGGGCCAUUGGGGCCGACAUUGGGGCCAUUGGGGCCGUCACUGGGGCCAUUGGGGCCAUU